GGCAGCUAAGGGUUGGGGGGGGGGGGGUAAGGGAGGAGGGGUAUUCAUAAAAAAAAAAAAAACAAGAAAAACACCCACACACAGCACAAAUACCAUCAAACACAACUCACCUACUCACCUAGUGUUUUUUUCUAUCAUGCAUGUCUUCCUCCUGCAUUGAAAAAACACACCAUACCACUACAAGGCUGCAGACAGGCCUUCACAAGGUAAGUUACUACAUUUGAGAGCUACUUCAUGUUUUUAUGAGUCUUCUACCUCUGCAUGUAGCACCUCAAGAUUUCUGAUCCUCAGCAACGCUUUCUUCCCCUGGGCAGCGUAAGGCUUGGGGUAUAUCAAGGAAGGGAUGAAAGGUGAAAUAUCGAAUGUUCCUGAGCUUUUACUAUUGGUAAAGUGGUAGCUAGCCAGCCUUGCGUCAGCUGAGCGUGCUGCAGUGAGCGACGUCAAUAAUUCCCUCUAUUCCUCGGCUAGUCAAGAACGGCAGCCCCAGAUGCCUGAGUCAUUGCUUCAUGCAUCCUGCCUCGCUUCAGCACUUCCUCAUUUAAAGUAGGGACUCGUCGGAGUAGCACAUUUGACUCUCAGCAGUCUCAGGCAGGAUAUCAAGAGAAAUUCCACACAGGCCACACGAGGAGCCUUAUGGAGCCACCUCACUCCUGCACGAGUUAAGCAUUCCUGCGCGUACGCAGAAGGUGGCAGUCCAAUUCAGGCAGCUGGACACGGCCCGCGCAUGUCAACAGAUAGAGCUUUGUUUCAACAGAGGCAAAAGUCACAGCUGAAGUACCUGGUGAAUUUAGUGACACGGGACGAUUCCUAGCAACUGGGACGCCACAAAAAUGAGAUGGGAGAAUGCUUUCUGGAUGGUUGCCUGUUUACUGUUUGCAUCUCUACCCAGAG
rnacentral:lncRNA from 1 species